AUACGGAGGGUGCAAGCGUUAUUCGGAAUCACUGGGCGUAAAGGGUGCGUAGGCGGUUUGAUAAGUCUGAUGUGAAAUCCUAUGGCUAACCAUAGAACUGCAUUGGAAACUGUCAGACUAGAAUACUGAAGGGGCAGAUGGAAUUAGUGGUGUAGGGGUAAAAUCCGUAGAUAUCACUAGGAAUACCGAAAGCGAAAGCGAUCUGCUGGGAAGUUAUUGACGCUGAGGCACGAAAGCGUGGGGAGCAAACGGGAUUAGAAACCCUAGUAGUCC
rnacentral:rRNA from 1 species